rnacentral:tRNA from 1 species
GGAGGGAUAACUCCAGUGGUAGAGCGCAUGCUUAGCAUGCACGAGGCCCUGGGUUCAAGCCCCAGUACCUCUU